UGGGGAAUCUUGCGCAAUGGGCGAAAGCCUGACGCAGCGACGCCGCGUGAGUGAUGAAGGCCUUCGGGUUGUAAAGCUCUGUGGGGAGAGACGAAUAAGGCGUGGCUAAUAUCCACGUUGAUGACGGUAUCUCCUUAGCAAGCACCGGCUAACUCUGUGCCAGCAGCCGCGGUAAGACAGAGGGUGCAAACGUUGUUCGGAAUUACUGGGCGUAAAGCGUGUGUAGGCGGUUCUGUAGGUCGGAUGUGAAAGCCCUCGGCUCAACCAAGGAAGUGCAUUCGAAACCCCAGAACUGGAGUGUUGGAGAGGAAGGCGGAAUUGUCGGUGUAGAGGUGAAAUUCGUAGAUAUCGACAGGAACACCUGCGGCGAAAGCGGCCUUCUGGACAAACACUGACGCUGAGACACGAAAGCGUGGGGAGCAAACAGG
rnacentral:rRNA from 1 species